GCAGGCGCGGCGGCAGCCAGCGGGUCGUUGCAGCCUCUCCCCCGGGGCCGCGCCGCUGGAAACGGUCAAGUCCACUCGGAUCACCACCUCCUCGGUGACAGCUCGCUCUCCCCCAGCAAGGCGGUCUGGAGAGAGGCUUGCCCCGUUCCGUCACAUUAGAGGGCAGGAGGGAGAGGCCGGGGAGCGUUGGAGCCAGCAGGUUUUAUUAUAUUUUUCAAAAGGAGACACCCUUGCCCAAAUAUUUUUUGAAGGGGAAGAAAAAAACUUCUGUCAUUCCAGACCAGCCAUAUGAGGACCAGUUCCAGCCUGAUCCCUACUGAAACACAUUCUUGAAUGUCCUGUAAUAUGGGGGCGGUGUUGUGAGUCAAGCCUAUCUAAAAGUUGAGACUGUGACUUCUGUUCAAAGCAAUGGUGCAGGAUUUUCAAGUUCAGACUCGUUAUGGACUAUGAAGCUCAAAUUUGCAAUCGUAAAGGAGGAUGCAGGCCUCUACAGGUGAAGGAGGGAGCCAGAGAAAGCCACUUGCACUCCUGAGGUAAUCUCCUCUGGUGAAGAUCACGCAGCAUCUCUUACUGUAGUGAUCCACUGGGUUUGAGAAGCCAGAAUUUAAGGCGCCACCAUCACUUUCCAGCUUGAGCCACUGACAUCCCAUGGGGGGAAUCAGCCAAGCCGUGCACUUCUUGUUGAUGGAACGAAGUAAUAAAAAGAUCUAUAAGCCCAGAUCCUGCUGUGAAUAAGCCUGGCAAGAAUCAAAAGAUCUUCCUAAAGCUAUGGAAUGAUGAAUAAAAUGUAGAAUCCAGAAAAGAGUUAAAAAUAAAUCCGAUUAAAAGAGAAUCUCGAAUGAGAAGGCUCCAAAAUGGGACAGUUGUUUAAAGACAAAAAAAAGUCCCAAGCUUAUCACUCUUCCAUUUGGUGGGUUGCCAGAAUAGCACUGGAAAAGAAGAAACGCUAUUUAGAAAAUAUCACUAAACCAGAGAGAGUGGGGAGAGCUGUUGUAGUAUAGGAAUAUUAAAGACUCCAUUAAACAGUGACAUCUAGUGAUUAUUUGCCAAUACAGUGGCUGUGAUCAGAUAGGUGUCAGUUUCAAUGGAGAUUGGAGAAAUCCCCUGCAACGUAAAAACAAUGUCUACCACAAUAAUGAUUCUUAAGUCUGAAUUAGACUCUUUAAAAGACAGUUGAAAAAAUAUCCCAACAAUGAUGUCUGAAAUUAUGAAAGAGUUAACAGAAUUAAAGACUGAUCUUAAAAAGUUAAUACAAAUAGAGGAAAAUAAUGAAAAGAACCAAAGAAGAACUUAAAACAAAGGGAGUGGACUCUUUUCAAUUGGAGCUUAAAAUGCAUGAUCAAGUCAGUCUUCGAGUGAAAUACCCAAUUAGAGAGAAAGCCUUGAGGCUAAGGAUGGUAACAGAAGAUCAAGAUUCUUCAACAGAGAAUGUUAAAUCUCGGCUUUGACCAAUUUUUUGAAGAUGGAAGAAGAAGAAGAAAUAGAAUUAAAGAUGGAAAAGAUUUACAGAGUCAAUUAAAAAAAUCUAAAAUUGAAAGGACUGUCCAGAGGCAUUAUUAUAUUUUCUAUAAAAAAAAACAGCAGUCUUAGAAACAGAAAAUCAGAGUUUAAGAUUGAAGACAAUGACAUUAUUGUGAUGAAAGAUUGAGGACAAUGACAUUAUUGUGAUGAAAGAAAUACCAUUAAUAGUCUUACAUGGAAGAAAGGACUAUGUUUUUCUCGUUGAUGUUUUAAGAAAUAAGCAGUUAUGUUUUACAUGGCUCAAUUGGGAAAGAGUUCAUUUAUAAAUAUCAGCAGAAGAUUAUUUCAAUAACAAGUGCUAAGGACUUUCUCAAAAAGAACAAGGAUUUUAUUUAAGAACAUUUAGCUGUUUAACUUAAGCGUACUAAUAAAAAUGAUGCCAUGAGAUUAGUAGAUGCUCAGGUACUAAGAUAUUAAGGAAAAUAGUGAGUUCAGACAGUAAGUUCAGAUAUAGAUAUCGUAGUAAGUUCAGAUAUAACGAUAUUGAAUGGGAGAUAAGAGAUGGAUUGUGUGAAGUUACAUAAAAUGUAUACAUUAAGAUAAAUUCAAAUAUGAGCCUUCUAUUAUGGGAAUUAGGUGGAUAAGUAAAUUAUCAAAGAAUUUAUAUUUGUUGGCCUUGAAGUUAAUAAAAAAGUAUAAUAGUAUGGAUAAGGUUUGGGUGAGAAGUCAAAUAUAGUUAUACUAGCAGCAAAACCCAUUGCGGGGAGAUGCAGUGGGCCCUAGCAAAGGGUAAGGUGAAUUAUUUUCCCUACAAUGGUGUGGUAGCAUCUCCCUCGCCCCCCGGCAUGAUGCUUUCCAUCUACUUGGUCCUGAGUUUGUGGAUUGGAGGCAAGAGAGGAUGGAAAGGUGUGGGUUGGGA